ensembl:snRNA U6 U6 spliceosomal RNA
UUGCUUUGGCAGCACAUAUACUAAACUUGGAAUGAUACAGAGAAGAUUAGCAUGGCCCAUGUUCAAGGACGACAUGCAAAUUCUUGAAGCAUUCCAUUUUUUU